GGAGUUGUGGCUCAGGGGUAGAGCACUUGCCUGGCAUGUGUGAGGCCCUGGGUUCGAUCCUCAGCACCG
rnacentral:tRNA from 1 species